rnacentral:rRNA from 1 species
CAAUUUCAAGUAUUCAGUUUCACCAAUAAGAUAUGGAGACUUGCUUCACAUUUGGAAUUACACAAAAAAGAUUUUCCAUUGGAAAGAGGUCUACAAAGACUUUUGGGAAAACGUCGACGUUUGCUGGCUUAA